ensembl:lncRNA
GCAAAAACACAUUUCAAUGACCACAGACAAAAUGAGUUCAUCCUCAUGUGUCUAGACAUGUAAGAACUGUUGGUAUAUUGUAUGUGCAUACAACCUCCUGAUGAACAGUACCAGAUCUGCAGGCAGCCCUCACUGCUCUCAUAUAUGGAAAACAAAAUACUUGGCGCUGGUCCACAGACAACACUGAGGCCCAUUAUCUUCUGCAGGCUCGCUAAGGCAGCUUUAAACGGGACGUUCAUGCAGGCCUCUCAGGCUGACCGGCUAUUACGGCAGUUGCGUAAGGGAAAGUCCAAGACCGGAGACACAAGAAAACAUGAACUCACUGACAUAAAAUUCGACAAGACACCUAGACAACUCAGACCAAUCAGGAAACUCACUCAAUGAAGAGACAAGAGACAAGGGAUACACAUGGAUGAAAUACAGUAGGGAGGUGCAGGUGAUUGGACACAGGAGGAAACAAAUAGGGACACGGCAGACAAUCACCCACAGGAGAAAACACCAGGGCAGGAAGUGAAGUUGACCCAGGGACACGAGAGGCAGGAAACUACAAAAUAAAAUAGGAAAUAAACCCACAUUGUGGCAAGUUGUAAAAAACGUUUGGCUACUUUGAAUAACUGUCAAGUAAACAUACAGUGUGAUGAUCCAUCACAUGCUGAACUGAAUUGGAAGCUUUGAGCUUUAAGUUGUUUUAUUUCACUGUGUCUUGAAUAAGGCAAAUAUCACAAAGAUGCAAUAAUCUCUUCCGAUAUUAGCAGAUCUGAGGUGUGGCGUCUCCACUAUAUCAGCCUUGAUUUCAAACAUAGUAACCCGUCUUGAAUAUUGUAAGCGAACAGGAAGUGUAAUCUAAAGAUGAAUUUAGAUUUUGAAAGCACAAUUCAUGAGUAUUACUUUUCCGGUGUCAGACAGUCCUGUUGUUUGGUGAGGACGGUUCUCUCUGUUUAUCUUUUCAGAAUACAGAUGAAAGGACGGUGGCCAAACAUCUGUGCGCUGGCACUGAGCAGCAACAGCAGGCGGUUAAGACAGACAUGGAGAGACGUAACAUCUGGAGAGCUGGCUGCUGUGAACACACAUCAUGUCAAGAAACCAGACGUGACGACUAUUUAGAGCAGAGGCAAUAACACAGGUUUGUGUUUGGGCAGAUGGACGGGAGUUGGCCGAUGCUCCCUGGGGAUGAAAUCAACUCUGCCGUAGACCGAGCUCCAUGUUUAUCUUUGGGCUUUAUUAGAUGUUGAUGUUGGCUGUGCGAGAGGACCACUUGUAUAAAAAAAUAUUUUUUAAAGGAAAAUGGAGAGAGAGCAGGACAGAGAGUGAGAUGGAGGCUGAAGGAGAGUAGUGGUACUGUUAUCCUUGGAAGGCUCAGCCAGUGGCGCAGCUGUCCGUCACACUGCUGAAGAAACAACUUUCUGGGUUCGGCCUUUAACACACUGUGCAGCGCUUGAUUUGACCCGGCGUUGGCCCUGUGUGUGUCCGCGUAUUACACUUUGUGUGCUUUGUCAGCACUUGGAAAACACACUGUUUUGAACUCCACCUACGGCGGGAGUGUGAAAGAUGUUUUUGGUUUGCUUCCAGUUAAACCAGCAUUAGUCAUGCUGGUUUAAACCACGUGUGGAGAGCAGCUUUCUUGGAGCAUGCCACAGCAUUCUUGACCCUGCAAUAUGCAAUAUUAAGGCAACGACUUUCACCACAGUGGAUUUCUGUAUUCAGC